CCUUUGGAGAACUAUGCCAAAUCGUAGUAGCUUAGGCAAGGCGAGGUUCGGUGAAGAAGGAA
rnacentral:sRNA from 17 species